GACAGAGGGUGCAAACGUUGUUCGGAAUUACUGGGCGUAAAGCGUGUGUAGGCGGCCACGUAAGUCGGAUGUGAAAGCCCCAGGCUCAACCUGGGAAGUGCACUCGAUACUGCGUGGCUUGAGUAUCGGAGAGGUUGGUGGAAUUCUCGGUGUAGAGGUGAAAUGCGCAGAUAUCAGGAGGAACACCGGUGGCGAAGGCGGGGUCUCUGGGCCGAUGACUGACGCUGGAGGAGCGAAAGCGUGGGGAGCGAA
rnacentral:rRNA from 1 species